AAACUGAAGGAAUACACACACCAGAGCAAAGAAAAUGAUUACUCAGUCUGUGGGAAAAGCAAGCCAGCAACAGAAGACAUAGAUAGCCACCACUCAAGUAACACCAGAAUGACCCUUACCACAUCCAGUGCACAACAAGAACAGAAGUAGCCUCUGAACAGGUGGAUACCACCUACACCACAUAUCUUUAAGCCUUCAAAAUAAGGCCAGAGUUAGCCCACCUGCCCUGGUUUUCAUGCAGCUGUGUGCAGGGCAGGAGGAGCCCUGGACCUGGCCCUUCAUUCUUCAUGCUGCUGCCCCUGGGGAAAGCUGUAAAUGAGAAGAUUUGAUACACUUCCCUGAGAUGUUUCCCUGACUUGUCAUUGUGAUGAAAGGAAACCCAAUAUCCCCUCCACUUUCCAGUGCAACACUGCAGAAACAAGGAAUGACAGAGGAAGAGCAAGAACCAUCUUAACUGGGAGCCUGAUUCAUCCUCGAAUCUCUCAAGCAAUGCUUAGUUUAUGAAGCCAUCACAAAUAGAAUGAUACAUUUGAACAAGAGCUGGGAGCCUUGUAAAGCUAUUUUACUGCCUGGAACAAAGAAAAAUAUAUUUCUCCUCCUCCAACAACGUGCCACAUUGUCUUCAAUAUGAAGACAAUAUGGAAGCAAAAGAGACAAUGCACACAAUCAAUAAAUAUUUUGUUCCUUUAUCCAGCUAUUAUGUCACUGCUAAAAGGAUCUUAUAUAUAAACUGCUCAGGUAUUUAUUAGAAGAAGCCUUCCAAUAGGUUGGCAGUCCCAUAUCACACAUUUCAAAAGACUCUUUUUCUUUUGAGGCACUGGUAAUUUUCUUCCCCAAAAACACUCUCAUUAUUUUGAGAGU